UACGUAGGGGGCUAGCGUUGUCCGGAUUUAUUGGGCGUAAAGAGCGUGUAGGCGGCCAGGUAGGUCUGCUGUGAAAACUCGAGGCUCAACCUCGAGACGCCGAUGGAAACCAUCUGGCUAGAGUCCGGAAGAGGAGAGUGGAAUUCCUGGUGUAGCGGUGAAAUGCGCAGAUAUCAGGAGGAACACCGGUGGCGAAGGCGGGUCUCUGGGCCGAUACUGACGCUGAGGAGCGAAAGCGUGGGGAGCGAACAGG
rnacentral:rRNA from 1 species